CUUCACGUUAAGGAUGGGUCUGUCACAGCACUGAUCCCCAGUUUACUCCAACAGCUCUACGUUAUCGCUGACAGCCAGAUCGCCAUUUCUGGACCGAUCAUACCGUAACUGUCAGGGUUUCCUCCAUGAAAGGCUCGACGUGUUUCUGCCGUUUAUAGCCGAGGCAGAGGUCCGUACAGGUUGUACUGUGCGUGGUAUGUUCGCCAGUCAGCGCAAGUGAAGCGAUCUAUUAAAGUGACAAACGCGAUAAGGCGCUACUAAAAGCGGAUUAUUACUCAGUUUGCACUCACAACGGUGCCUUAAAAAGGCAACUACGAACCGAACUUUAAUAGCCAGGAGAGGUUAAACUCCCAGCGCUAGCUAAACUGUGCUAAAACGUAACUUGGGAUUUCGGCCUCGUCGGAGCAGGAAGUAACUUGUAUGCGCCGCUUAUCUCAGAGGACCAGCCAAACAAGGACCAAACAUCUGUACGCAAUUGGCGUAACGGAGGGUGGCGGCCACGGGCGCAAUAGCGAGGUGGAGACAGAAGCGCAUUCCUACGUACGCUCCAGCGAGUUGGAACGCAUCCGAGGAAUGACUGGCAUUGGCCUUGAUGUGGAGAAAAGCACUUAAGGAGAUAAAUAACCGAGCUGCGAAGCUCGAGGGAGGUGUGGACCAGCUUGAGUCCAGAGGCCUGAAGACCCUGUAAGACGCUGAACCAAUAGCGGAGCACUUCCUCAUCACUUCCGCCCACCUCAAAACCUGCCCAUCGCAUGUGCACAGUGGCAACCAGAUGAUGGACGCUCUGUAGAGUUCCCGACUCAAUCCAGUUCUGGAAAACUCUCCACUCAGCACUGAGCAAGUUAGCAUAUAAGAAGUGAACCUAAAGACAAAGAGAAUGAGGAGAAGAGAAUGCUACAUCAAUUUCCUGAAAACGACUGCUUUAUAUUAUUACAUUCACAAUACAAAUAAAUUGUAGCUGUAUUUUACAGAAAAUACAUUUUUUCUUGAUGGAGAAUAGAUAUAAGAUGAACAUCAUAAAAUAUAAGGAAACUACAAAUUUGUAAAAAGAAAAUUUUUCCAUAGUAGAUAUGCUGGGGUUUUUUUAUAUUGUGCAGCCCUGCUGAUUUCUACAGCUUACAUCAAAUUGUGUACAGUCCAAUAUUAAAACUCAUUAAACUCA